UUACUCCUCCCUCUCUACAAUUGGAUUCCAGGAGUUCGGCUCAGUGUUUACAUGCUAUUUUAAUAAAAACUUAGUCACGACAGUUGAGAGAAAGCUAGGCUCUCAGAAGAAAGUAAGACACAUGUGAGAGAAUGCGUAUGAGCUUCUCAAAAAAAGAGUUGCAGAGCAUUAGGUGUACCCAAGUGUGGGCAUGGGCUCCUCAAGGAAGAGUAAUAUAUUAAUUGUCAACAUUAGCCAUACUAUACUAUUUUGAUGGCUCUCAGAUUACAUUUCAGAAAAUGGUUAAGAAAUCAUUUUCCUUUGCCUCUUUAGAUAAGUGAGAUUAUAGGGUGGCUGUGAAGAUGGCUUAGGUGGAAUUAGAAUCUGAUAAGAGAAAACCAGAAGCCACUAGUAUUGCACAAUGUGUUUAGUACAUCUCCUUUCCUUGUAAGUGGUUUUUCAGGUGGGAAGGCAGAAAGGCCUUUUGCUCAAGGCAGGCAAGUUAGCAGCUGGUAGCAGUCCAAUAGCAGCUGGAUAGGAGUUCUUAACAGUAUGCUGGAAUUUUUGCUUCUUUAGCUGGCAAGAUGCUUUGACUGGAUUCUAGGGCAAGGGGGAGUCCUUUCUCCUUCUCAUGUCCCCAAUAUUUCCCCUGGCUUUAUUAUCCUGCCUCCAUUUGAUGAGUCCACAAUGAUGACCAUAUUGAAAGUUGGUUGAGACAAGCAGAUCAGCUGGUACAUAUCUUGCAAAAUAGAACUUGUGGCUGGCCCCUUCCCAUCUCUGUCUACAUCAUGGCAGAGAAAUAAGCAGCCUUUGCCACAUACUAUUGAGUUUUGAUGCUUCUGCUUCUUCUCAGGCCCCAAUGCAACAGAACCAACUGAUGACGGCUGAAACUACUGAAAACCGUGAGGCAAAAUAAAUCUAUGCUCAUUUAAGCUGACUUUUUCGCGUAUUUGUCAUGGUAUGGAUGGGACAAACAGGAUGCAGCCAGAGAAUGCCUGUUCCCCAGUGAAACUGAUGUUUCCAGGAAGUCUGUUAAACUGGGUGGGCAGACCUGCUGAGAGCUGCUUUAAGGGAAAUCCACCCCGGGGUCGAACCACCAUAAAGCUGUUAGCCUAUUUGUGUUCUGGAGGUUUACAGUAAUGCAGCUCUGGACAUAACCCUGAAAGGCAUCUGCUAUCUAUUGUGCUAGGCCCCACUGCACCUGUGCCAGAGCUUUUUGAAUGGGGGCAUAAAUACAACACCAGAAAGGGCUACUUUCUUAAGAACCAUGGGGAUUGUACUCACCUGGAUAAAUAUGUCAAGUUAUAAAGGCAUUUUCCAUACUAUUACACUAAGGUCACUACAUACUACAAAUAAAUCAGAUUUAGCUAUGCAGAGGACUGCAGGCAUGUCAUCCCCAGGUACAGAAAGCAGGAAUCAGAAGGGGACAUGUGCCCAAAUCACAUGCCUAUAAUCAGAGAAGUGGGAUUGCAACAUACAAAUGACAUGGAGGAACACACCUUUUUCCUGUAUGGAAUUAGGAGAAUGGGCAAGGACUGAGGAUUCCCCUCAGUUCACCGUAGCUAUUUGGUAAGGGCUGGAGGCCUGGGCUUAUUGAAUGCUGGCUAGCAAGUAGGGAAAAACCUAAGCCAGCAGAGUCCCCACCUGAUCUCGUUUAUUCCACACCUUUGUAAAACUCUACCGACCCCUAAGUCACAGAAGAGACUACAGGGUAAUCUUAAAUUGUAUUUAUGAGGAUUUACGCCUUAAGUUUGUUGAGCAAAUAAUUAUAUACACCUGCAAUAAAUUCAUAAAAUCUCUGAAAAAGUUUAUGAAACUCCAAACAAAAGGAAAAUUAUAUGCUUGUGCCCCCUCCCCAAUAUUGUUGAAUUUCAGACUUUUUUGUGGUUCAUUUCUUAUGUAAGUAUAUAUGCUUUAUAAGGAGACGAUAAUAAAUACUCACAUUGCU